AUGACAGAAAGCCAUGGGGAUGUACUUAAAUGUCUGCUGGUGACCUCCAGGAUAGGUCAAUGGCGUUUAGAAGGGGCAUCUGAGCAUCUGCUUUACAGUCAAACAGACUUUGUUUUUAAUCCUGGAUCUCCUCCCCAUAAGCUGUUCUGUGUCAGCAUAUCACUCAUCUGUCUUAGCUUCAAUUUCUCCAGCUGCAAAUUGGAAACAACAGUAGCUACCUUGCAGAAUGUUAAAGACAUUAUUACGCAUUCUUUCAAUGGCAUGGGUAGUAGCCAGUACUAUUUUAAAAUAUCCAAUGUUCUAGGAAAAGGCUCAUGCUAUAAAGGUCUCACUUCAUCAUCCAUGCUGGAGUGGAAUGGUGCAAUCACAGCUCGCUGUGGCCUCGACCUCCCAGGGUCAGGUGAUCCUCCCACCUCAUCUUCCCAAGUAUCUGGGACUACAGGCAAAUUCCACCUCAAAAUCCUUGAACUUUGGCUGGGUGCAGUGGCUCACACCUGUAAUCCUAACACUUUGGAAGGCCGAGACGGGAGGACUGCCUGAGCUCAGAAGUUGGAGACCAGCCAGGCCAACAUGGUGAAACCCUGUCUCUACCAAAAAAUACAAAAAAUUAGCUGGGCAUGGUGGCAGGCACCUGUAAUCUUAGUUACUCCGAAGGCUGAAAAACGAAAAUCACUUGAACUCUGGAGGCAGAGGUUGUGGUGAGCUGAGAUUGCACAAGUGCUGUCCAGCCUGGGUGAUGGAGUGAGACUCUGUAUCCAAAAAAAAAAAAAAAAAAAAAAUACCUGAACUGUAACUUCUGUCUUCUGAACAUGAAGAGACCGCUGUGCUCUGCUAUGUUUCCCCUUCUGACAUUGCAUUAUCAAAAAUUCAGUCGGGCAAAAAGCCAUAGUGACAAAUGGACUGAACUCUCUUACUUCUCUCCUCUUAAGGAUCACUUUCUUUUGUUUCUUGUUUUCAAAUGUUUGAGAACAGCCAUUUCAUUAUUUGUCCAGCCUUUUACUUAUCUGUAGUUAUUGGGCAAUGUAUUAAUUGGCAGCGCUGUCAUAACACAGUAGCGGAGACUGGUGACUUGAACAACACAAAUUGAUUUUCUCACAGUUCUGGAAGCAAAAAGGCCAAGAUCAAAGUUUGACAGAGUUGGCUUUUUUUGAAGCCUCUCUUCUUGAACGGUAGAUGACCACCUUCUCUCUGUGUACUUACACAGUUGUUUCUGUGUCUGUGUUCUAAUUUCCUCUUCUUGUAAUAUUGGAUUAAAGCCCAGUCUAAUGACAUCAUUUGAACUAGAUAACCUCUUUAAGACCUUAUCUGUAAAUACAGUUACAUUCUGAGCUAUUGGGGAUUUAUGUUUCAACAUAUGAAAUUAUUUUUGGGGGGAGCACAAUUUACUCAUAAUGAACAGUCCAGUAAUGAUUAUGCUUUCAUACCAGCAACAGAAUUUUUGAAAGCUUGCUAUUUGCCAGUCAUUUUAUAAACAUGUUGCAGACUUUAACUCAAUUAAUUCUCCUAAUGUCCCUGUCACAUAGACAUUAUACACUCUAUUUUAGAUCUAAGGACACUAAGCUUCAAGAGUUAAGUAAUUUGCCUAAGGUGCUGUAGCUAAUAAGCAGAAGAGUCUGGAUUUGAAUCUAAGUAUUACUCCAAGGCCCUGGUUCUUAACCACUAUGCUUUGCUUUCUUUUAGGGCACACAUGAAAGGCAAAACUAAUGUCUCUAGAUUAUAUUCUUGGACCUGUGGGCAGAUAUUCCUAAAAUGCCUAGCCUUGAAGCUUAACGGCAUACAGAGUUUUACUUCUUAGCAACUCACAAAUUUUCCCAUGUCAGAAAACAGAAAAAUACUAGAGUAUAAUUCAUUACUCAUAUGAAAUAAACAUCUUUCAUUUUGUCUCUCUCA
rnacentral:lncRNA from 13 species